rnacentral:rRNA from 1 species
UACGUAGGGGGCUAGCGUUGUCCGGAUUUAUUGGGCGUAAAGAGCGUGUAGGCGGCCAUGUAGGUCCGGUGUGAAAACUCGAGGCUUAACCUCGAGAUGUCAUCGGAAACCAUUUGGCUAGAGUCCGGAAGAGGAGAGUGGAAUUCCUGGUGUAGCGGUGAAAUGCGCAGAUAUCAGGAAGAACACCAACGGCGAAGGCAGCUCGCUAGGACGGUACUGACGCUGAGACGCGAAAGCGUGGGGAGCGAACAGG